rnacentral:rRNA from 1 species
GUGUCAGCAGCCGCGGUAAUACGUAGGGGGCAAGCGUUGUCCGGAAUUAUUGGGCGUAAAGCGCGCGCAGGCGGUUCCUUAAGUCUGAUGUGAAAGCCCACGGCUCAACCGUGGAGGGUCAUUGGAAACUGGGGAACUUGAGGACAGAAGAGGAGAGUGGAAUUCCACGUGUAGCGGUGAAAUGCGUAGAUAUGUGGAGGAACACCAGUGGCGAAGGCGACUCUCUGGUCUGUUUCUGACGCUGAGGUGCGAAAGCGUGGGUAGCAAACAGGAUUAGAAACCCCCGUAGUCC